rnacentral:rRNA from 1 species
CUGGCGGCGUGCCUAAUACAUGCAAGUUGAGCGCUGAAGGUUGGUACUUGUACCGACUGGAUGAGCAGCGAACGGGUGAGUAACGCGUGGGGAAUCUGCCUUUGAGCGGGGGACAACAUUUGGAAACGAAUGCUAAUACCGCAUAAAAACUUUAAACACAAGUUUUAAGUUUGAAAGAUGCAAUUGCAUCACUCAAAGAUGAUCCCGCGUUGUAUUAGCUAGUUGGUGAGGUAAAGGCUCACCAAGGCGAUGAUACAUAGCCGACCUGAGAGGGUGAUCGGCCACAUUGGGACUGAGACACGGCCCAAACUCCUACGGGAGGCAGCAGUAGGGAAUCUUCGGCAAUGGACGAAAGUCUGACCGAGCAACGCCGCGUGAGUGAAGAAGGUUUUCGGAUCGUAAAACUCUGUUGGUAGAGAAGAACGUUGGUGAGAGUGGAAAGCUCAUCAAGUGACGGUAACUACCCAGAAAGGGACGGCUAACUACGUGCCAGCAGCCGCGGUAAUACGUAGGUCCCGAGCGUUGUCCGGAUUUAUUGGGCGUAAAGCGAGCGCAGGUGGUUUAUUAAGUCUGGUGUAAAAGGCAGUGGCUCAACCAUUGUAUGCAUUGGAAACUGGUAGACUUGAGUGCAGGAGAGGAGAGUGGAAUUCCAUGUGUAGCGGUGAAAUGCGUAGAUAUAUGGAGGAACACCGGUGGCGAAAGCGGCUCUCUGGCCUGUAACUGACACUGAGGCUCGAGAGCGUGGGGAGCAAACAGGAUUAGAUACCCUGGUAGUCCACGCCGUAAACGAUGAGUGCUAGAUGUAGGGAGCUAUAAGUUCUCUGUAUCGCAGCUAACGCAAUAAGCACUCCGCCUGGGGAGUACGACCGCAAGGUUGAAACUCAAAGGAAUUGACGGGGGCCCGCACAAGCGGUGGAGCAUGUGGUUUAAUUGGAAGCAACGCGAAGAACCUUACCAGGUCUUGACAUACUCGUGCUAUUCCUAGAGAUAGGAAGUUCCUUCGGGACACGGGAUACAGGUGGUGCAUGGUUGUCGUCAGCUCGUGUCGUGAGAUGUUGGGUUAAGUCCCGCAACGAGCGCAACCCCUAUUGUUAGUUGCCAUCAUUAAGUUGGGCACUCUAACGAGACUGCCGGUGAUAAACCGGAGGAAGGUGGGGAUGACGUCAAAUCAUCAUGCCCCUUAUGACCUGGAUUACACACGUGUUACAAUGGAUGGUACAACGAGUCGCGAGACAGUGAUGUUUAGCUAAUCUCUUAAAACCAUUCUCAGUUCGGAUUGUAGGCUGCAACUGGCCUACAUGAAGUCGGAAUCGCUAGUAAUCGCGGAUCAGCACGCCGCGGUGAAUACGUUCCCGGGCCUUGUACACACCGCCCGUCACACCACGGGAGUUGGGAGUACCCGAAGUAGGUUGCCUAACCGCAAGGAGGGCGCUUCCUAAGGUAAGACCGA